UACUUUCCCAGUGUUUUCAGUCCCCUAAUGACAUAUGUCAAGGAGCCCUUUUGAUAUGCUUAUUUGCCAUAAGUAUGUCUUUUUUGGUGAGAUAUCUGUUAAGGGCUUUGGCUCAUUGUCUAGUUGGGUUGUUUUCUUAUUUUUAAGUUUUUGAGAUUCUUUAUGCAUUUUAGAUAACAGUCUUUUACCAGAUGUGACACUAAUAUCUUUGCCUAAUAUGGGGCAUUUCUUUUGAUCAAUUUGGCCUUCUUCAUUAAGAUAUUUUCUUCUUUAUUUUUUUAUUAUUACCACAGCAAAGUAGGAUCUAGUGAGUCUUCCUAGAUCAGGAUUAUCUUCAGGAGAAUGGAAGUUUUGAGAAAGGGAGAGGAAAAAAAAUCUUAUUAGCAAUCAUAAAGCUUUGUGGUGGGUAGCAAAGGCCAGUGGAAGUCGGGUCAGGGGGUUCUAAACAGAGGGAAAUGAAAAACUCUGGACUCAAGAAGAUGCCAGAAGUUAGAGGAGAUCUAAAUGUUAGGGAGGAGGGAUCUAAGAACAAUUUUUCUUUGAAAUUUUGCUCUGGUGUUAGUCUCUGUCCUUGUAGAUAUAAGACAUUUUAAAAGAACAGAAUUUUUAAAGCCAGAAAUAAAAUAAGUUCUACCACCUAUUAUCUGAUACACUAUCUGGAAUUCUUCUACAUGUGUACUAACACAUAAAUAAUUCUAAGACGGCCUGGGGAUUGGGGGUCACAGACAGCCAUUCUUGCCUCAGUGCUAGGAAAGCAGUCUGAUUAAAUGGACUGACUGAAGGUUGUGGAGGUUUUGAUUUGUGCACAGAUGGUAUUCAAUUAAUUUAUAUUGUCUGGCUUACUAUUAAGGGACAUCCUGAAAGAGGAGAAAAGACAGUUAUUAGCUAUAGUUUUCAUGCUGG
rnacentral:lncRNA from 1 species